ACUCCUACGGGAGGCAGCAGUGGGGAAUAUUGCACAAUGGGCGCAAGCCUGAUGCAGCCAUGCCGCGUGUGUGAAGAAGGCCUUCGGGUUGUAAAGCACUUUCAGUCGUGAGGAAGGUAGUGUAGUUAAUAGCUGCAUUAUUUGACGUUAGCGACAGAAGAAGCACCGGCUAACUCCGUGCCAGCAGCCGCGGUAAUACGGAGGGUGCGAGCGUUAAUCGGAAUUACUGGGCGUAAAGCGCAUGCAGGUGGUUUGUUAAGUCAGAUGUGAAAGCCCGGGGCUCAACCUCGGAAUAGCAUUUGAAACUGGCAGACUAGAGUACUGUAGAGGGGGUAGAAUUUCAGGUGUAGCGGUGAAAUGCGUAGAGAUCUGAAGGAUACCGGUGGCGAAGGCGGCCCCUGGACAGAUACUGACACUCAGAUGCGAAAGCGUGGGAGCAAACAGGAUUAGAUA
rnacentral:rRNA from 1 species